UCGCGGUCGAAUCGUCGGCGAUCGAUACUCGUCGUGAUCUUCAUAUCGAUCGCGACGGAGGAUCGGACGUUUCGUCUCGUCUCGUCGUGGGAGCGGACGCGUGCGAGAUCGUUCCCGCGGAAUCGCGUUCCGUUCGUUCCCGCUCGCGUCGACCCGCUAAAUAUAGCGAGCGCGGACUCGCGAUUAUUUCGGUGUUCGCCGCGGCGCGCAGCUGCGAUUCGUCGCGAGUGUGAUAUCGAGAGGAUUUCGAGGCCGAACAGAAAGAAAGAGAACGAGAGCGGGAGAGGGAGAGAAAGAGAGAGAGAGAGAGAGAGAGAGAAUGAGAGGAUGAUCUCGAGCGAACGAGCCGGCGACGGCGGUGGCGGCGACCACGGUGAGUCGAGCCGCGGCGGAAAUAAUUCCGCCCAGUCUGUCAUUGUCGAAACGGGAGAUUGUUCGCGAGCGAUUUCCAAGAGGAAAGGGAGGUUUAGGCGGAAUUAUCGAUGAAUUAAUCGCCCACGAGAAUGCGUAUCAUUGAUCAAGCGGGCUCUAGCGAUGCUUAUCAAGGAUCGGAAGGAACGCACGGCCGGUUCGAAUCGACGAUGUCCGUUCGUGGGUGACGAGCGGGCGCCGUAGGGGGAGGAAGAGGAUGGAUGCGCUCUAAUAUGCAGAAACCAUGAAGAACGCCGGCCACUACCAUGACGCAAUUUCCGGGUGUCUCUAUCGGAGUUGGCGCACCCAGGAAAACGACCGGUGCCCCCCUGACCCGCAGAAAAGUUUCGGGAGAAAAAUCGAAAUCCCGCGCGCGAGGAGACGCGAGAACCUUCCUUUCCUCAUCGCCGUCGUCCUGCCGCGCAACUUCAUCGGCGAAGUGUCCGACGAAAAUUGGAAUUUGCCGUGAGUACCGAAUACCGGAAGUUAGAUCCGGAUUAAGCGAAGAACUUCUCAAAGUGUCCUUCUAAUUUCGCUUCUCCUUUCCGAAGGGCUUCGCCUCUUUUGCCCGGGCUCUCGCGUCGCCGAGGUUGCACCGUGACGUUAUUUUUCCGGUGAGAGCAUCUACGACUUUUUGAACGAAAUGUCUCGAAAUACGUGUUCCCGUAAAUACGCGAGAAACGAGAAACGAGAGAA